rnacentral:rRNA from 1 species
UUAUCGGAGAGUUUGAUCCUGGCUCAGAACGAACGCUGGCGGCACGCCUCAUACAUGCAAGUCGAGCGCGAAAUCGCCUUCGGGUGACGUAGAGCGGCGAACGGGUGAGUAACAGGUGGGUAAUCUGCCCUUUGGCGGGGGACAACAGCUGGAAACGGCUGCUAAUACCGCAUGUGGUUGUGUGUUCAUGACGCACAAAGAAAGGCGCUUCACGGCGCCACCAAAGGAUGAGCCCGCCCCCCAUUAGCUAGUUGGUGAGAUAACAGCUCACCAAGGCAUCGAU